UCCGGAUUUAUUNGGCGUAAAGCGAGCGCAGGCGGUUAGAUAANUCUGAAGUUAAAGGCUGUGGCUUAACCAUAGUACGCUUUGGAAACUGUUUAACUUGAGUGCAGAAGGGGAGAGUGGAAUUCCAUGUGUAGCGGUGAAAUGCGUAGAUAUAUGGAGGAACACAGGUGGCGAAAGCGGCUCUCUGGUCUGUAACUGACGCUGAGGCUNGAAAGCGUGGGGAGCGAACAGGAUUAGAUACCCUGGUAGUNCACGCCGUAAACGAUGAGUGCUAGGUGUUAGGCCCUUUCCGGGGCUUAGUGCCGCAGCUAACGCAUUAAGCACUCCGCCUGGGGAGUACGACCGCAAGGUUGAAACUCAAAGGAAUUGACGGGGGCCCGCACAAGCGGUGGAGCAUGUGGUUUAAUUCGAAGCAACGCGAAGAACCUUACCAGGUCUUGACAUCCCGAUGCCCGCUUUAGAGAUAGAGUUUUACUUCGGUACAUCGGUGACAGGUGGUGCAUGGUUGUCGUCAGCUCGUGUCGUGAGAUGUUGGGUUAAGUCCCGCAACGAGCGCAACCCUUAUUGUUAGUUGCCAUCAUUCAGUUGGGCACUCUAGCGAGACUGCCGGUAAUAAACCGGAGGAAGGUGGGGAUGACGUCAAAUCAUCAUGCCCCUUAUGACCUGGGCUACACACGUGCUACAAUGGCUGGUACAACGAGUCGCAAGUCGGUGACGGCAAGCUAAUCUCUUAAAGCCAGUCUCAGUUCGGAUUGUAGGCUGCAACUCGCCUACAUGAAGUCGGAAUCGCUAGUAAUCGCGGAUCAGCACGCCGCGGUGAAUACGUUCCCGGGCCUUGUACACACCGCCCGUCACACCACGAGAGUUUGUAACACCCGAAGUCGGUGAGGUAACCUUUUAGGAG
rnacentral:rRNA from 1 species